AUGACUGGUCUCGUUUCAUCCCAAACUUCACCAAGGUUUCUGUAUCAGGGACUGAAAACUGCCUUGCCUGCCAGCAUAUGCUAUGGCCGACAGAUCAGGCAGUUGGUUUCAUCCCUCGUAGCGGAAAGCUGGAAUGUUAACUGGAAGCCUGUGCUCUUGCAUGUGGUGUGUUUAUCUAGUGCAAGUCAACGGCUCACAAGGCAAGUUGAGGUUUUAGGAAAAGACAAAUGUAGAGUUGAGGCCGUUUCAUUCCUUUCCAGUUUCGUUUGGAAGGCCGUUUCAUCAUUUUGUCUGUUCAUUUUUUUCAGGCACCUGCUAUUGUCUAUAUCUGUAGCUUAA
rnacentral:rRNA from 1 species